rnacentral:rRNA from 1 species
GAGCACGCGCGUGUGGCAUAUCAAUAAGCGGAGGAAAAGAAACUAACAAGGAUUCCCUUAGUAACGGCGAGUGAAGCGGGAAGAGCUCAAAUUUGAAAUCUUCAAGGUUUUACCUUGACGAAUUGUAGUUUAAAGAAGUGUUUUCUGUUGAGUGUUUCGGUAAAAGUUCUUUGGAAUAGGACAUCAUAGAGGGUGAGAAUCCCGUAUUUGACCAUUAUUUUCAGCUGUGUGAUACACUUUCAAAGAGGUCGGAUUGUUUGGGAAUGCAGUCCAAAAUGGGUGGUAAAUUUCAUCUAAAGCUAAAUAUUGGCGAGAGACCGAUAGCGAACAAGUACCGUGAGGGAAAGAUGAAAAGAACUUUGAAAAGAGAGUUAAACAGUACGUGAAAUUGUCAAAAGGGAAGCGUUUGACACCAGUGUUGUUUUUCCGAAAAUCAAUUACGAAUGUUUUAUUUUUGAGGAGUUAUGACUUCAUCGGCUUGCUCCUUUCUUUAUGAAACUUUCUUAAUGCACUUUUCGGUUAACAAGUCAACAUCAAUUUCUUUUGUUGUAAAAGGGUAUGAGGAAGGUGGCUUUCUUUUCGGAGAAAGUGUUUAUAGCCUUGUGCCUCUGCAAUCGGAGAGAUUGAGGUCUGCAGCGUAGAUCCUUCGGGGUUAGAUACGUUUGUGCUAAGUUAUAGCUUUUCAUAGACAACUUGUUGACUAUGUUUAGUCUUGUAGCUUACUCGCUGACGCUAUUUUACCUACGCUUAGGAUGUUGAGCGCAUGUCUCUCUCU